CCUCUGCGGGCAUAGACCACGCCCCCUCCACCCAAUGCAGCGAUUUCACCCGCUGAGACUCGGCUCCCAGGCCCUGCAGCCCCGGCCACGCCCACAACCCCUUGAACUCCGCCCACCCACAAGCUGCGCCACUUGUCUGCGAGGCGCCAGGCGACUGCUGCAGCUUAGGCUCCGCCCAGCAAUGGCCCGGAAAGCCCUCGCCUGCGUGCGGCGCUGCAGGCCUAGCGGGGUUCAGGUAAAUCUAAUGCAGUCUGCAUACGAAACUGCAGCGGGGAGAGCGGCAGAGCCGGGAGCAGCAGCCUCUUAAAGAGUCGGGCGAUCUGGAUCCGCUCACUUCCCCUCCGAGGGAGCCCUCUUCCACCAAGUCUGCUAAGGGGCUUGACUUCCCGCCCGCCCUGCCUCCGCGCCCCAAAUUUCCCUGCCCCAGAUUCUCACGCCUGCGAAUGACUGUGGCCUGCAAAGGUCUGGCAACCAUAGCGUGCGAAGAUACAUGCAUGCCAACUCCAGCCUCCGGCGGCCUAGGUCGCCCUCCCGUCCCCCAUUAGGCAGAUCCAGGGCUCCUCACCCACCUCUACCCGCAGGCUUCGAGCCCGCUGGUCCACAGGCAAACCGAGAUUCAGGGACGCCAGGCUGCGAUGAUGUAGCCCACAGCUGGGGGGUCUAUUCGUCUAUUCUCCCAACUGCCUUGCUGCGAUGUGGAGAAGAAUCUGGAAUUACAGAUGCUUGCCUCUGCAUCCAGUCUUAUAUGAAUCCCAGGGAUCUGAACUCAGGACCUCACACUUGUGCAGCAGGGUUUCACCCACUGAGCCAGCUCUCAAGCUCCACUAGUUAGUGUGCUGAUAAAGAAAUAAAUAUAUCAUGAUGCUGUGAAUUUGCUUUUUGAAGACUUUGGUGACUUGCAUUUUAAACUCUUUUCGUUGCAUAAAUUUUGUCAGAAUGCAAAAACAAAAUGA